rnacentral:rRNA from 1 species
UACGUAGGGUGCGAGCGUUAUCCGGAUUUAUUGGGUUUAAAGGGUGCGUAGGCUGGUAAUUAAGUCAGUGGUGAAAUACUCCGGCUCAACCGGGGGGCUGCCGUUGAUACUGGUUACCAUGAGUUUAGAUGAUGUGGGCGGAAUGUGUCAUGUAGCGGUGAAAUGCAUAGAGAUGACACAGAACACCGAUAGCGAAGGCAGCUCACAAAGCUAUUACUGACGCUGAUGCACGAAAGCGUGGGGAUCAAACAGGA